rnacentral:rRNA from 2 species
AACAAGGAUUCCCUUAGUAACUGCGAGUGAAGAGGGAAAAGCUCAAAUUUAAAAUCUGACAGUGUUUUGCUGUCCGAGUUGUAACCUAGAGAAGUGUAACCUGUGCUGGACCAUGUACAAGUCUCCUGGAAUGGAGCAUCGCAGAGGGUGAGAAUCCCGUCUUUGACAUGGACUACCAGUGCAUUGUGGUUGUGCUCUCAACGAGUCGAGUUGUUUGGGAAUGCAGCUCUAAAUGGGUGGUAAAUUCCAUCUAAAGCUAAAUAUUGGCGAGAGACCGAUAGCGAACAAGUACCGUGAGGGAAAGAUGAAAAGAACUUUGGAAAGAGAGUUAAACAGUAUGUGAAAUUGUUGAAAGGGAAACGUUUGAAGUCAGUCAUGUUGGGUGGGGAUCAGCCUGGCAGAUUGUUGGGUGUACUUCCUGGUUGACGGGCCAACAUCAGUUUUGACUGCCAGAGAAAGGCGAAGGGAAUGUGGCACCUUUGGGUGUGUUAUAGCUCUUUGUCGUAUGUGGUGGUUGGGACUGAGGAAAGCAGUGCGCCGAAAGGCAGGGUUUCGACCACAUUCGCACUGAGGAUGUUGGCAUAAUGGCUUUAAGCGACCCGUCUUGAAACACGGACCAAGGAGUCUAACAUGCAUGCGAGUGUUUGGGUGGAAAACUCUUACGCGGAAUGAAAGUGAAAGUUGAGAACCCUGUCGUGGGGAGCAUCGACGCCCGGACCAGAACUUUUGGGACGGAUCUGCGGUAGAGCACGUAUGUUGGGACCCGAAAGAUGGUGAACUAUGCCUGAAUAGGGUGAAGCCAGAGGAAACUCUGGUGGAGGCUCGUAGCGAUUCUGACGUGCAAAUCGAUCGUCAAAUUUGGGUAUAGGGGCGAAAGACUAA